rnacentral:rRNA from 1 species
UGGGGAAUAUUGGACAAUGGGCGAAAGCCUGACCCAGCAACGCCGCGUGAUUGAAGAAGGUCUUCGGAUUGUAAAGAUCUGUCCUAUGGGACGAAAAAAAUGACGGUACCAUAGGAGGAAGCCCCGGCUAACUACGUGCCAGCAGCCGCGGUAAUACGUAGGGGGCUAGCGUUGUCCGGAAUUACUGGGCGUAAAGGGUGCGCAGGCGGUCCUUUAAGUCAGAUGUGAAAUACCCGAGCUUAACUUGGGGGGUGCAUCUGAUACUGGGGGACUUGAGUGCAGGAGAGGAAAGUGGAAUUCCUAGUGUAGCGGUGAAAUGCGUAGAUAUUAGGAGGAACACCAGUGGCGAAGGCGACUUUCUGGACUGUAACUGACGCUGAGGCACGAAAGCGUGGGGAGC